rnacentral:lncRNA from 1 species
CAUGUCCUUUGCAGGGACCUGAGUGAAGCUGGAAACCAUUAUCCUCAGCAAACUAACACAGGAACAGGAAACCAAACACCAUAUGUUCUCACUCAUAUGUGGGAGUUGAACAAUGAGAACACAUGUACACCGGAAGGAAACAUCACACACCGGGGCCUGUUAGGGGGUUGGGGUCAAGGGGAGGGAGAGCAUUAGGACAAAUAUCUAAUGCAUGUGGGGCUUAAAACCUAGAUGGCAGGUUGAUAGGUGCAGAAAACCACCAUGGUACAUGUAAACCUAUGUAACAAACCUGCACGUUCUGCACAUGUAUCCCAAAACUUAAAGUAAAACAAAGAAACAAACAAAAAUGCACUAACGCUCAGGGUGAGUGGGGUAGGGGCCGGGGUGGGGCGCGGGUGGGUGGGUCCUGGUGUUUUAUUCAAUCAGUGGCGCUGGUGUGGGAACCACCCAAUCAGGCACACAGUUUGAGAAGAGAGGAGGGUGUGGCUUCCGGCGUUUGGUGGGGCCUUUGUCUCUCGCUGGUGCUGGUGCAGGAGCUUGAGAUCCAUCUCCUUUUUUACCUCCUCCACCUUGGGAAAUCCAGACAACUCCCUCACAGCCCCUGUUGCCCUGUGAUCUGUAGGUCCUUGGGGACGCAUAGUUAAGGUGCUGUUACCAUGGGGCGGUCCUUGCUCCCAGAGCUCCCAAGAUGGUGGCAGGCCACUUCCUUAAUUUUGGCAGACCAUUUCCAAGAUGGUGGCAAGCCUCCUGUUCUCUGACUGUGGCUUCCUGGAAAGGUCACUUUCAAUGGCGCCUUUUUCACGAAUGUGAAAGUCUAGGCAUCAGAAAGGUUAAUUAUUGGGUUGCAUAAAAUCUGCUAAGAGCAAAGGAAAAACCCCAUUUCCGAGGCGUGAGUCUUGUGAGCCAUUUUCAUCAACCCAUUUAAGUGGACCAGCUCCAAAAUGCAACCUGAAGCUACUAUUUAGGCAUUUUACACUUGAAAUCAUUGGUCUCAUCUCAAGUCAGGCCUGGCUUGCCAGUGGCUCAGAGCCACAAAUGGGACCUGAUACCUCAGGAACAGAUAGUGUUCCAGCUUUACGGGAGCAACUUUUAAGAUGUGGAGCACUUGGGGUCAUUUGAAACCCGCUAUCUUCAGUAGGGACUUUUACUUCUACAGAGCAUGUGCAUUUUGAUUUUAUCUGUCCUCAAGCUGACCUUUGUUCAUUUUAAUAGUAAAAAACACAUUCCUGGGUGGAGAUUUAAGAUGCUAGUGAGGCAUGCAAUGUAUGCACAAAUAUGUACAGCUACUGCACAUGUGUACCCAGAAGACCAGUCAGAACAUGCUUACUAUAACACUUCUUUCCACCUUCUUAUGAAAUAAUCAUGCAAAACUCCCAUAAAGAGGGUUUCUCCAGCAAUAAUUAAUGCUGUCUCACUUUUAUGAGCAGGCUGCCCUGGAAUCUCUUUCUCAGACUGUACCGUCUAUUCUGCACUUAAUUUUCAAAAUAUUCUCUUUUUUGAGGAAGGCCUAUUUGCAGUUGAGAUAAGAGGAAGGCAUCUGUCUCCUGCUCAUCCUUGGGCAAUGGAAUAUCUCGCUGUAAAACCCGAUUGUAUGUUCUAUUUACUGAGAUAGGAGAAAACUGCCUUAGGGCUGGAGUUGAGACAUGCUGGUGGCAAUACUGUUUUUAAUGGAUGGAGAUGUUUGUAUACAUGCACAUCAAGGCACAGCAACUUUUCUAACCUUGUUUAUGACACAGAGACAUUUGUUCACAUGUUUUCCUGCUGACCCUCUCCCCACUAUUACCCUAUUGUCCUGCCACAUCCCCCUCUCAAAGAUGGUAGAAAUAGUGAUCAAUAAAUACUGAGGGAACUCAGACCAGCGCCAGCGUUGGUCCUCUGUAUGCUGAGCGCCAGUCCCCUGGGCUCACUUUUCUUUCUCUAUACUUUGUCUCUGUGUCUCUUUCUUUUCUCAGUCUCUCAUUCCACCUGAUGAGAAACACCCACAGGUGUGGAGGGGCAGGCCACCCCUUCAUUGAAACUGUGGUAACUGUACAGCCAAGACAAUGAGCCUUAGCAUUCACAUUGUAAUUCGGCUCAUUCAAGCAAAGCUAUCUUCAUUAAGGACUUUCUGUUCCAGAGAGCAUGUGCAUUUUGAUUUUACCUGUCCUCAAACUUAACUUUUGCUUAUUUUAAUAGCAAAAGAUACACCCCCCAGCUGGGCACGGUGGCUCACACCUGUACUCCCAGCACUUUGGGAGGCUGAGAAGAAUGGAUCACUUGAAACCAGAAGCUCAAGACUAGACUGGUCAACAUAGUGAAACCCCAUUUCAACUAAAAAUACAAAAAUUAGCCAGGUAUGGUGGUGCAUGCCUGUAAUCCCAGCUACUCAGGAGGCUGAGCACGAGAAUGGCUUGAACUUGGGAGGGAGAGGUUGCAGUGAGCAGAGAUUGCACCACCACACUCCAGCCUGGGCAACAGAGCGAGACUCUGUCUCAAGCAAACAAACAAAAAUACACUCCUGGCUAGAGGUCUAAGAUGCUAAUGAGACAUGCAAAAUAUGAAUAAGCAUGUACAGCUACUGCACAUGUGCACCCAGAAGACCACUCAGAACAGGCUUACUAGCAGCUCCUCUUCCCCCC